rnacentral:rRNA from 1 species
GACGAACGCUGGCGGCGUGCCUAAUACAUGCAAGUAGAACGCUGAAGAGAGGAGCUUCUCUUCUUGGAUGAGUUGCGAACGGGUGAGUAACGCGUAGGUAACCUGCCUUGUAUCGGGGGAUAACUAUUGGAAACGAUAGCUAAUACCGCAUAACAAUGGAUGACACAUGUCAUUUAUUUGAAAGGGGCAAUUGCUCCACUACAAGAUGGACCUGCGUUGUAUUAGCUAGUAGGUGAGGUAAUGGCUCACCUAGGCGACGAUACAUAGCCGACCUGAGAGGGUGAUCGGCCACACUGGGACUGAGACACGGCCCAGACUCCUACGGGAGGCAGCAGUAGGGAAUCUUCGGCAAUGGGGGCAACCCUGACCGAGCAACGCCGCGUGAGUGAAGAAGGUUUUCGGAUCGGAAAGCUCUGUUGUAAGUCAAGAACGGGUGUGAGAGUGGAAAGUUCACACUGUGACGGUAGCUUACCAGAAAGGGACGGCUAACUACGUG